rnacentral:rRNA from 1 species
AUUGAACGCUGGCGGCAUGCCUUACACAUGCAAGUCGAACGGCAGCACGGGAGCAAUCCUGGUGGCGAGUGGCGAACGGGUGAGUAAUAUAUCGGAACGUGCCCGGUCGUGGGGAUAACGUAGCGAAAGCUACGCUAAUACCGCAUACGAUCUACGGAUGAAAGCGGGGGAUCGCAAGACCUCGCGCGAUUGGAGCGGCCGAUAUCAGAUUAGGUAGUUGGUGAGGUAAAGGCUCACCAAGCCGACGAUCUGUAGCUGGUCUGAGAGGACGACCAGCCACACUGGGACUGAGACACGGCCCAGACUCCUAC